GACGAACGCUGGCGGCGUGCUUAACACAUGCAAGUCGAACGAAGUGGCGAACGGGUGAGUAACGCGUAAUCAACCUGCCCUUCAGAGGGGGACAACAGUUGGAAACGACUGCUAAUACCGCAUACUGAAGGAGGGGAUUGCGACGGAGUAGCUAGUUGGAGGGGUAACUGCCACCCAAGGCGAUGAUCAGUAGGCGGUGUGGAUGGAUGAACGGCCACAUGGGGACUGGGAAACGGCCCAGACUCCUACGGGAGGCAGCCGUGGGGAAACUUCCGCAAUGGACGAAAGUCUGACGGAGCAACGCCGCGUGAGUGAUGACGGCCUUCGGGUUGUAAAGCUCUGUUAAUCGGGACGCGGUACCGGAAUAGAAAGCCACGGCUAACUACGUGCCAGCCGCUGCGGUAAUAC
rnacentral:rRNA from 1 species